GAGGCAGCAGUGGGGAAUAUUGGACAAUGGGGGCAACCCUGAUCCAGCCAUGCCGCGUGAAUGAUGAAGGCCUUCGGGUUGUAAAAUUCUUUUGGUGGGGACGAUGAUGACGGUACCCACAGAAUAAGCUCCGGCUAACCUCGUGCCAGCAGCCGCGGUAAUACGAAGGGGGCUAGCGUUGUUCGGAAUUACUGGGCGUAAAGGGCGCGUAGGCGGCUUGAUAAGUUGGAUGUGAAAGCCCAGGGCUCAACCCUGGAAUAGCAUUCAAGACUAUCUCGCUUGAAUUCGGUAGAGGUUGGUGGAAUUCCCAGUGUAGAGGUGAAAUUCGUAGAGAUUGGGAAGAAUAUCCGUGGCGAAGGCGGCCAACUGGACCGACAUUGACGCUGAGGCGCGAAAGCGUGGGGAGCAAACAGGAUUAGAUACCCUGGUAGUCCACGCCGUAAAC
rnacentral:rRNA from 1 species